rnacentral:rRNA from 2 species
UGUGACAUACCACUUGUUGCCUCGGCGGAUCAGCCCGCUCCCGGUAAAACGGGACGGCCCGCCAGAGGACCCCUAAACUCUGUUUCUAUAUGUAACUUCUGAGUAAAACCAUAAAUAAAUCAAAACUUUCAACAACGGAUCUCUUGGUUCUGGCAUCGAUGAAGAACGCAGCAAAAUGCGAUAAGUAAUGUGAAUUGCAGAAUUCAGUGAAUCAUCGAAUCUUUGAACGCACAUUGCGCCCGCCAGUAUUCUGGCGGGCAUGCCUGUUCGAGCGUCAUUUCAACCCUCAAGCACAGCUUGGUGUUGGGACUCGCGUUAAUUCGCGUUCCUCAAAUUGAUUGGCGGUCACGUCGAGCUUCCAUAGCGUAGUAGUAAAACCCUCGUUACUGGUAAUCGUCGCGGCCACGCCGUUAAACCCCAACUUCUGAAUGUUGACCUCGGAUCAGGUAGGAAUACCCGCUGAACUUAAGCAUAUCAAUA